rnacentral:rRNA from 1 species
UACGGAGGGUGCAAGCGUUAUUCGGAAUUACUGGGCGUAAAGCGCAUGUAGGCGGUUUAGUAAGUCUGGUGUGAAAUCCCACGACUCAAUCGUGGAAGUGCAUUGGAUACUGCUAAACUAGAGGAUAGGAGAGGUAAGCGGAAUUCCUGGUGUAGAGGUGAAAUUCGUAGAUAUCAGGAGGAACAACAGAGGCGAAGGCGGCUUACUGGACUGUAUCUGACGCUGAGGUGCGAAAGCGUGGGGAGCGAACGGG